ACUGAUAGACGUCGGAUACGUGCGCGGAUUAGCGUUGAACCACCUGAUCUUACGAUUGUGGCAACUG
rnacentral:tRNA from 1 species